UACGGAGGGUGCGAGCGUUGUCCGGAAUCACUGGGCGUAAAGGGCGCGUAGGCGGUCUGCUAAGCGUGCGGUGAAAGCCUGGGGCUCAACCCCAGGUCUGCCGUGCGAACUGGUGGACUAGAGCACUGUAGAGGCAGGUGGAAUUCCGGGUGUAGCGGUGGAAUGCGUAGAGAUGUGGAGGAACACCGAUGGCGAAGGCAGCCUUCUGGGCCAACACUGACGCUCAUGCACGAAAGCGUGGGGAGCAAACAGG
rnacentral:rRNA from 1 species